UCUUUCUGGGUCUCAGGAGGCUAUACAGAUCCAUGCUCAGGUCCAAAAUGUGACGGUGACAGGCGACAGCUUCUGUUAUGAAGUUUGUAUCUUCAGGCCGGACACUUUGUACAACAUCCGGCUCCGUCAUCGCUUCAGGGGCCCAGAGAGUCCCUGGAGCCCGUGGAGCAACACCUGCCUGGGGAGGACAGGAGAGGACGCUCCAUCUGCAGCACCAGCCUUCUGGAGGCAAGUGAGACAGACAGACAAGGAGGGUUGGAGGCUCAUCACACUGCUCUGGAAGCCUUUGCCUCGCCCUCUAGCAAAUGGCAGAGUCCUUUUCUACAACGUGACGUGUCAGACAGAGGGCUCUCACGUCCUGAAUGAUCACGGGAGCUGCAGAGAUUUGCACCUUACGAGUACUUCCUGUAGCUUGCUCCUUCCUGCUGGACGGUGCUCCUGCGCCCUGACGGCCUCCACCUCGGCAGGGGCCUCGUCCGAAGCCCGGAUAUGGUUCAGUGGAGCCUCUGAUACAGG